GAUGAACGCUGGCGGCGUGCCUAAUACAUGCAAGUCGAGCGAACGGACGCGAAGCUUGCUUCUUUGACGUUAGCGGCGGGCGGGUGAGUAACACGUGGAUAACCUACCUAUAUGUCUGGGAUAACUUCGGGACACCGGCGCUAACACCGUAUAAUCUCUUGAUCCGCGUGGUUCAAAAGUGAAAGACGGUCUUGCGGUCUCUUAUAGCUGGUUCCGCGCUGCAUUGGAUGGUUGGUACGUUAACGGCCUACCACGGCAACGAUGCAUAGCCGACGUGAGAGGGUGGUCGGCGACACGGGAGCUUGGACACGGUCAAGACUCCUACGGGAGGCAGCAGUCGGGAAUGUUCCGCAAUGGGCGAAAGCAUUACGCAGCAACGCCGCGUCAGUGAUGACGGUCUUCGGAUCGGAAAACUCUGUUAUUAGGGAAAAACAUAUGUGUAAGGAAAUGUGCACAGCUUGACGGUACCUAAUCAGAAAGCAACGGCUAACUACGUG
rnacentral:rRNA from 1 species